UGCACUCUGGAGGUAGAAAUCUUGGGAAUGU
rnacentral:piRNA from 1 species